AUGUGCCAGGGCGAAGUAGGCAUCGAGCCUGAAGUGGUGAUGCCAACCCUGCGCUCAAGACCGCCAGUGCGCCUCUACGGUCCGGUGUUUCCCUCUAUACGCACUAGCAUGGAGGUGCGUGUCUCCAGGCUGGCACGUCCGGUACCAGCCCCACGCAUCGGGCGUCAAGUGCGUCAGCCCAGCCUCGCCAGUCAAGAGUCGCCAGAGCUGCCCGCCAGUCAAGAGUCGCCAGAGCUGCCCGCCAGUCAAGAGUCGCCAGAGCUGCCCGCCAGUCAAGAGUCGCCAGAGCUGCCCGCCAGUCAAGAGUCGCCAGAGCUGCCCGCCAGUCAAGAGUCGCCAGAGCUGCACGCCAGUCAGGAGUCGCCAGAGCUGCCCGCCAGUCAGGAGUCGCCAGAGCUGCCCGCCAGUCAGGAGUCGCCAGAGCUGCCCGCCAGUCAGGAGUCGCCAGAGCUGCCCGCCAGUCAGGAGUCGCCAGAGCUGCCCGCCAGUCAGGAGUCGCCAGAGCUGCCCGCCAGUCAGGAGUCGCCAGAGCCGCCCGCUAGUCAGGAGCGGCCAGAGUGGCCCGUCUGCCCGGAGAUGCCAGAGUGGCCCGUCUGCCCGGAACUGCCAGAGUGGCCCGACUGCCCGGAGCUGCCAGAGUGGCCCGACUGCCCGGAGCUGCCAGAGUGGCCCGACUGCCCGGAGCUGCCAGAGUGGCCCGCCUGCCCGGAUCUGCCAGGGUGCCCCGCCUGUCCUCCGGCCCAGCCCGAGUGGCCCGCCUGUCCUCCGGCCCAGCCCGAGUGGCCCGCCUGUCCUCCGGCCCAGCCCGAGUGGCCCGCCUGUCCUCCGGCCCAGCCCGAGUGGCCCGCCUGUCCUCUGGCCCAGCCCGAGUGGCCCGCAUGUCCUCCGGUCCAGCCAGAGUGGUCCGUCUGCCAGGGUCAGCCCGAGUGGCCCGUCUGCCCGGCACAGCUAUCGGCGCCACCGAAGUGGGCGACGCCGAAGGUGGAGCGAGGUCCACGUCCCGCACCUGAGCCACCUCCAGGAUAG
rnacentral:lncRNA from 8 species